UCAUAGAUGAACAAAGAAAGCAGUUUCUUGAGAUGGAAUCUACUAUUGAUGAAGAUUCUAUGAA
rnacentral:pre_miRNA from 1 species